rnacentral:lncRNA from 1 species
AGAUUAUUAUCCUAAUUUAAAGAUGAGACAAUUAGAGUCACAGAAAUUAAGUGAAUUCUUUAAGGUAUUAAAACUGACCAGAAUCCAACCACAGGAUAUCUGAGUUCAUAUCUCAUACACCUUUCUGCCAAACCAUUCCCUUGAAAUAUGUAAUUAUUCUUUCUUUUUGAGUACAGAACAUACAGAAGACCUGACUACCUAAUAAAAUGUAAGAUUGAUGACUUCACAUAUGCAAAUGAUGGAAUUCUGGGCCUUCAAACAAUGAUUAAGUGAAUUCAAAGCUUCUACAGAGUUAGUCAGUCCAACCUCUUCCUAAAUGUAUUUUUUAUCUCAGACUUUCCCCAGAGACUAGAUUCCAGGUCAUGCAGAAUCAUGUGAAAUCAUGUGGAUAAAGAAAUUUGCCCACUAUAUUAGUGUCAGACAUUCCUGGAUAAAUGAUGAUGAAGACAGAAGUGGGAGUGAAUGACACUGAAGACAGAAUUGGUAGUUGGAGACAAGGAUGAGGGCAGGAGUAGAGAGAUGCGGAAAUUCACCAGAUGAUGUUUACUCAGAAGCACCCAGGGAAUACUUUAGAGUCUACUGAGGAGUCACUGCUCAAUCACUGGGACGAGACAAGCACCCCUCAGUACCAAUCAAUACCAUGCAAGCCUUCAAUGAAGAAAAGCAAACCCUUCUUCCUGAAGGAUUUUACUUCCUGCCUGCCUGCUCUGCCCUGUGUUGAAGGCAUUGUAAUCCUUC